UACGUAGGCAGCGAGCGUUGUUCGGAAUUACUGGGCGUAAAGAGUGUGUAGGCGGUGCUCUAAGUUCGGUGUGAAAUCUCCCGGCUUAACUGGGAGGUGCGCCGGAAACUGGAGUGCUCGAACGUGGGAGAGGAAAGCGGAAUUCCUGGUGUAGCGGUGAAAUGCGUAGAUAUCAGGAGGAACACCUGCGGUGUAGACGGCUUUCUGGACCAUUGUUGACGCUGAGACACGAAAGCGUGGGUAGCAAGCAGG
rnacentral:rRNA from 1 species